rnacentral:rRNA from 1 species
AACGAACGCUGGCGGCAUGCCUAACACAUGCAAGUCGAACGAGACCUUCGGGUUUAGUUGCGCACGGGUGCGUAACGCGUGGGAAUCUGCCCUUUGGUUGGGAAUAACAGAGAGAAAUUUCAGCUAAUACCUUAUAAUGUCUUCGGACUAAAGAUUUAUCGCCGAGGGAUGAGCACGCGGAGGAUUAGGUAGUUGGUGGGGUAAUGGACUACCAAGCCGACGAUCCUAAGCUGGUAUGAGAGGGAGAUCAGCCACACUGGAACUGAGACACGGCCCAGGCUCCAACGGGAGGCAGCAGGGGGGAAAAUUGGACAAUGGGCGAAAGGCAAAACGAGCAAAGCCGCGAGAGUAAUGAAGGCCUUAGGGAUGUAGAGCUCAGAUACCCGGGAGGAUGAGGACAGAACCGGGGGAAUAGACUGCAGCGAACUCCGGGCCAGCCGCCGCCGUAA